rnacentral:rRNA from 1 species
UACGUAUGGUGCAAGCUUUAAUCGGAAUGACUGGGCGUCAAGGGUGCGCAGGCGGCCUGUUACGACAGAUGUGAAAUCCCCGGGCUUAACCUGGGAAUGGCCUAUGUGACUGGCAGGCUAGAGGAUGGCAGAGGGAGGCGGAAUUCCACGUGUAGCAGUGAAAUGCAUAGAGAUGUGGAGGAACACCGAUGGCGAAGGCAGCCUCCUGGGCCAAUUCUGACGCUCAGGCACGAAAGCGUGGGGAUCAAACAGG